rnacentral:rRNA from 1 species
GACGAACGCUGGCGGCGUGCUUAACACAUGCAAGUCGAGCGGUAAGGCCCUUUCGGGGGUACACGAGCGGCGAACGGGUGAGUAACACGUGGGUGACCUGCCCUCAGCUCUGGGAUAAGCCUGGGAAACCGGGUCUAAUACCGGAUAUGACUCCAUGACGCAUGUUGUGGGGUGGAAAGCCUUGUGCGGCUGAGGAUGGGCCCGCGGCCUAUCAGCUUGUUGGUGGGGUGAUGGCCUACCAAGGCGACGACGGGUAGCCGGCCUGAGAGGGCGACCGGCCACACUGGGACUGAGACACGGCCCAGACUCCUACGGGAGGCAGCAGUGGGGAAUAUUGCGCAAUGGGCGAAAGCCUGACGCAGCGACGCCGCGUGGGGAUGAAGGUCUUCGGAUUGUAAACCCCUUUCGGGAGGGAAGAUGGAACGAGCAAUCGUUCGGACGGUACCUCCAGAAGCAGCCACGGCUAACUUCGUGCCAACAGCAGCCGCUGUAAG